rnacentral:rRNA from 1 species
AUUGAACGCUGGCGGCAGGCCUAACACAUGCAAGUCGAGCGAGCGGCGGACGGGUGAGUAAUGUCUGGGAAACUGCCUGAUGGAGGGGGAUAACUACUGGAAACGGUAGCUAAUACCGCAUACCAUCAGAUGUGCCCAGAUGGGAUUAGCUAGUAGGUGGGGUAAUGGCUCACCUAGGCGACGAUCCCUAGCUGGUCUGAGAGGAUGACCAGGCACACUGGAACUGAGACACGGUCCAGACUCAGACGGGAGGCAGCAGUGGGGAAUAUUGGACAAUGGGCGAAAGCCUGAUGCAGCCAUGCCGCGUGUGUGAAGAAGGCCUUCGGAUUGUAAAGCACUUUAAGUGGGGAGGCGUUACCAGCAGAAGAAGCACCGGCUAACUUCGUGCCAGCAGCCGCGGUAAUUC